rnacentral:misc_RNA from 1 species
GCAAAACAGUUUUUGAUAUUCAUAACACCAUUGGCCAUUCAUUUCCAGUUCAAACCAAAGCAUAAAGAAAAAUCCUACAAUUAUUCUUAGAACAAUUUCGAAAACUAUCUACACCGUUAAUUAGAAAUGAGAAAAUUACAAAAUCUCUGGGACUGGCAGAAAGUAAACGAUGAUUCUACAAAAUCAGCCUAUGCCUACGAUAGACUGACAGUCCAAUUCAUUUUAUCUUCGAUAAGGCCCAUUUGUAAUCUGGUAAGCACAGAAUAGAGUUGUUGAGAAACAUCUCCAACACCAUCUCCAUAAGAUAUCCUUUUUCCGAGAUAUGUGACGCUGCCAACAGGUGAUAUAACCACUGCUGUCCCCGUACAAAAGACCUCG